CAGUCGCCACGGUAAUACAGAGGGUGCGAGCGUUAAUCGGAUUUACUGGGCGUAAAGCGUGCGUAGGCGGCUUUUUAAGUCGGAUGUGAAAUCCCUGAGCUUAACUUAGGAAUUGCAUUCGAUACUGGGAAGCUAGAGUAUGGGAGAGGAUGGUAGAAUUCCAGGUGUAGCGGUGAAAUGCGUAGAGAUCUGGAGGAAUACCGAUGGCGAAGGCAGCCAUCUGGCCUAAUACUGACGCUGAGGUACGAAAGCAUGGGGAGCAAACAGGAUUAGAUACCCCCUGUGUCCCUGUUUCUUAUAC
rnacentral:rRNA from 1 species